rnacentral:rRNA from 1 species
CGCGUAGGCGGUUUGGCAAAGUCUGACGUGAAAUGUACCGGUUCAACCGGGGCGCUGUGUCAGAAACUGCCAUACUUGAGGUCGAGGGAGGAGAGUGAAUUCCUGUGUAGCGGUGAAAUGCGUAGAUAUCAGGAGGAACAUCAGUGGCGAAGGCGACUGCCUGGACCAAGACUGACGCUGAGGUACGAAAGCGUGGGGAGCAAACA